AUGCAACAAGGGCACCCCGUAGCUUACCUCAACAAAGCUCUAUCCCACAAGAACAAGGCUCUCAUCACUUAUGAGAAGGAAUGUCUUGCAAUCCUGAUGGCGGUGGACAAGUGGAGACCCUACUUACAAUAUCAGCACUUUCUCAUUCAUACAGAUUAGCAUGCACACUUGCACCUGACAGAUCAACAUUUGACUACCAGGAUUCAACAUAAAGCAUUUGUUAAGCUAAUGGGGCUCAACUAUACAAUCCAAUAUAAGAAAGGGAUCACUAAUGUUGUGGUUGAUGCGCUGUCGCGCCGCGAGCAUGAUGUUUCCUUAUGA
rnacentral:rRNA from 1 species